rnacentral:rRNA from 1 species
ACGAACGCUGGCGGCGUGCUUAACACAUGCAAGUCGAACGGAAAGGCCCUGCUUUUGUGGGGUGCUCGAGUGGCGAACGGGUGAGUAACACGUGAGUAACCUGCCCUUGACUUUGGGAUAACUUCAGGAAACUGGGGCUAAUACCGGAUAGGAGCUCCUGCUGCAUGGUUGGGGUUGGAAAGUUUCGGCGGUUGGGGAUGGACUCGCGGCUUAUCAGCUUGUUGGUGGGGUAGUGGCUUACCAAGGCUUUGACGGGUAGCCGGCCUGAGAGGGUGACCGGCCAAAUUGGGACUGAGAUACGGCCCAGACUCCUACGGGAGGCAGCAGUGGGGAAUAUUGCACAAUGGGCGGAAGCCUGAUGCAGCAACGCCGCGUGCGGGAUGACGGCCUUCGGGUUGUAAACCGCUUUCGCCUGUGACGAAGCGUGAGUGACGGUAAUGGGUAAAGAAGCACCGGCUAACUACGUG